rfam:Tetranychus urticae London genomic scaffold, scaffold_23
GUUGGCUAUGGUGAUAUGGUGCCCAGAACCUAUGCUGGCAUGAUGAUUGGUGCUCUGUGUGCAGUUGCCGGUGUGCUUUGCAUUGCCCUUCCAGUGCCCGUUAUCGUCUCCAAU